UGCUCAUUGAUAGUUGCCCAUCAAUGAAAUUAGGGCUAGCUGUACCCGAGCAACCAACUCAGAUCUCACUUUUACCAGCCACAUCAAAGCCUUCACCAAAACAGCUCCCUGUCAUCUUAUUAUGUAUAUAUAUAUAUUUAUAUUAUUUAUGUAUUUUUUGUUUUUUUUAUCUUUUUUUAAAUUUAGGGUUAGUUAUUAAUUAUUAAUUAAUUUAUUUUUCUUCUCAUUUUUACAUUUGUUUUGUUUCGCACUCCUACGCACUUUGUCUUCAUUUUUUUCCUUAGGACGUUCCUUUUGUGUUGAUUCAUUGAAAGCACCUUGAAUUGCCUCUGAGUUUGAAAGGUGCUAUAUAAAUGCUACUGAAAGGUGCUAUAUAAAUGCUACUGAAAGGUGCUAUAUAAACACUACUGAAAGGUGCUAUAUAAAUGCUACUGAAAGGUGCUAUGUAAAUGCUACUGAAAGGUGCUAUAUAAAUGCUACUGAAAGGUGCUAUAUAAAUACUACUGAAAGGUGCUAUAUAAAUGCAUGUGCCUUGCCUAUUUAUAUCUCAUUCUUCUGCUCAUGGCAGUCAUAUUUUGAAGACUGGUCAGGGUUUACCAUUCCACAAUGGUUCCACAUCUGUUGGACAUAAUAGUCCAUAAACCUUCCAUGCAGCACCAAAAUUGUGUGGAUUGCACAUUGUGUGGAUUCACACCUCCAGGACAUCCUAAAACCUAAUCCUUGAGCUUUAUCCUCACCAGAAAAUCCUCCUGGAUGAUGGCUUCACUACCAGAAACCGA
ensembl:lncRNA